CUCCAGGAACAACAUUGGCUUCUAUGGAUCCAUCGCAAUGAAUCGAUCGUAAGACCCCGGUACCAGCCCCAGCUGCAACACCUGUUGGUCCGUACAAGUUGUCGAUCCAUCCUCGCACCGGUUCUUGCUAAAAUCGAAAUUGGAUAGAACGAGAACUUCAAGCGAUGCGAGCAACCUAUGUUUCUUGUUAAAAAAUCGACGGUAGGAAAAGAGAAAGGCGAGAAAGCAAGAAGAUAGAUAGAUAGAAGAAGAGAAUUUCGGUCGUUUCAAGUAUUUAAAGCAUCUGAAGAAGUAUUGGAAUCGCGUAUCUUGACUUGUUUUAAAAUAAUUUGGCCGAUAAUCGAACGGACGUUCGCAAAACUAGACGUUUCGAUUACGACACAUUCGUCAGCAAACAAUCUUUGCAAGUAUGGCAAAAUUCGUCUGUUCGAAUUCUGUGCUUGAACAAAUAAUAUCCCGUUUAAACGUAUGCUACCGUUAUAAGGUCAUGAAUCUGCUUUUGAAUAUAUUCGUAUACCAUUGGCAUAUUUUUAAACGUAUCAUUCUCUAUUUAUGUAUAUGACUAUUUCACGUGAAAUAAAUGGCGAAAAGCAAACACGUCACAAUUUCUUUACGCUUAUUGAUUUAUUGUAAUUGUCAGCAUGUUUUCUCACAUACGACGUAUGCUAUGGCAACCGGAUUUAUAUGUACGUUUCUGGGAAAAAUUAAUAACCUCCUAUUAGAAGUACUGUUUUUAAUGCUAAUAAUUAAUAAUUAAUAAUUUAUGAUUAUACAACCUUUAUCUGCAUAUAUACGUAUGCAUAUUUAUAAUCUAUUUCUAUUUCUGUACAAAAAUAUAUAAGAACGGAAGUACAAUUAAAAUGUAUACAUAUAAGUAUAGAAAAGACGUGAGUUAUAUAAAAACGAUUUGCUUAUAACGAACCGCGGAAAGAUAAAAUUCGUUGUUGCUUGCGGCGAAUUGUAGUAGAAGCACGAAUCUUUGCGUUACCGUAAGUUUUAAGCGAACUUUGUUUCUCAAUAAAUAAACAAAUUAACAAUGAUGUAAACAUUUUUUCAAGUAUAUCAUUUAUCAUGCUAAUUCGAAUAUACUUAUGAAAAAACGCCACUUUUUCUAACACUUAUGAGAUUGAUUUACUAAAAUCGCGUAUCUUUCCACGCAAGGAUGUAUGUAUAAUGCAUAUAGUUUAAACGUCACAUGAACAUCAGAAGUAACUUGUUUGCAGCUAGAUACGUCAGUGAUUAGCACAUUUAUUAUUAAUUCUAGGAUUUGUAUCGAUAAAAAGUUGCAGAUCAUGUAACGUUACCAAUGCAUGUUGUAUUUAUAUUGAAUUCUAAUAAAUGUCAUGAGUUCGUGCAGCA